GUAAGCCCCGUGUGGUUGGGUGGUGGUCCCACCCGUAAGCGUGCCCAAAGGGCACGGCCACCCAACUAAACCCUCCCGAAAGGGAGGGCGCACGGGGUAGGAGGU
rnacentral:ncRNA from 1 species